AACUCCAAAUUAGAUUACGUUUUCACACAUGGAGUCAGCUCAACCGGUUUAUAGCGUUAGAACUAGCCAGGUUGAUAAGAUUUGCAAUGCUAAGAAAAACACUUAUCGCUUUACGUGGGUACAGAGGAAAGAAGAUGGACAGCAAUCAUAAGACCCCUCUAUCAGAAGUUUCAUACAACCUCAUCCCUGCCCCUAUGAUGGAGUACACCAGCUGUGGAUGGAAACUGGGCAGAUUGGGGUCAAUGGAGCACAUGUAUCUGUGAAGAAGCAAAUUCAGCCACAGGCACUUGGUCUAGCUCCCGAACUUGCACUAAUCCUUCUCCUUCCUGUGGAGGAAGUUCCUGCUCUGGAGACUCUAAACGGACCGAAAGUUGUACCAAGGAUUGCACUUCUGGUGCAGUGGGCAAUUAUCUUGUUAUAUCACUAGAUUCUCCGACUGUACAACACUGAUUCCAAUAUUGAGCAUAGGACAUAUAUUGAUAGAUCCUGACCUACCCAUUGAGAACGAGAUGGACCUUACUCUUAGUUGCAAGGACAAUAAUUACUACCUGAUGGGCAGCAGCUCCUACACUUGUGAAAACGGAACUUUAACAAUCCCAGAGGACCUAGAUGAGCCUACUUGCGUUAGAAUGCCGUACUGGACUGGGUGGUCUAACUGGAACUACCACCAAUGUAAACACAUGACCGUGGAGGAAGGUGACCUGAAAGGAAACUACUCAGAUUGCUCUGUGCUACUAAAUAGAACUUGUAACCUAGAGGUUGAGGAGAGAACUUGCGGUGGUGCUGCUGAAAAAAUACAAGAGUGUCCUGAUGUUUGUAAUUCAGGUUUUAGCAAUGGUUAUGCCUAUUAUAGUGCAAUUGUUCUGGUUUGGAUUUUGAAGAUUUUUGUAUUAUCUUUUACUGCUUGACGAUUUUGUUUCCAGCUAAAGUUCCUAGCCAUUGUAUAGCCAGGGCCCAGGAGCAACAACUAACGAGGUGUUCAAACUAACUUUAGUUCAACUUUUUAGAUCGUUAUUAUAACAUUUCAACCUGUUUUAAUUUUUGAGUGUUCUUAUAUUACUGAGUAUAGCAGAAAAAUUUUUAUUUGAAAACAAAUCAUACUAUGUGUGGGCAUUUUUUAGACUAUUUUUAAGUCUUGUUGUACAACAUUUUACUGUAGUAAUUAUAAGACUAUUUAACUUUUGUAAUAGUUAAAAAAGUUAAAUAGUCAAAUAAUUGGCAUUUGGUUUUGUAUUGUGUUAUUAUUGUAGUUGUUGUUGUCAAAGUAGAAGGCUGGCAAUUUUUUUAGGGACUCUUCAAGGUCUGUAGAUCGAAAAAAAUGUAUCUACGCUUCUGCACAUCGUAGAGACUUUUUGGAUAGGCUUAGAUUAUCCUCAUUGGCCAUAUUUAUAUACUUGAACUUAUGAAGAGACAUUAUAUAUAUAUGCCAAAAAAUGCCCAAUUUUUGAGUUACUGGCAAAAAACUGAUUUGGUCACACGUAGACCCAAUUUUGCGAAUAAUAAUAAUAUAAACUGCAAUGAAAAACAUUCAUCCACAAACUUCUAGUACUAAUAUAGUAAGAUGCUGAGAUUAUAUUAUAGGUUCAUAUGACAUAUAUGGGCAUGGCCAAAAGGGUGAUUUUCCCAGUAAUUUUUGGCUCGGAAUUUUUGUCGUUCUAUAGAGGAGGCCCAACAAAGAUUUUCAGCCUUCUACUAUGAAUGGCAGGUCAAUGUGCAUGAAUGACCAAACUAUAGUAAUUAUAAGAAUAUUUAACAUUGAUUUAUCAUUGACAUUAAUUGUCAAACUGAACUGCCGAAUUUUUAUCAUGUAAUUUAGAUAGUUUUUUUUCUUCAUAAAGAUGCAAUUUUUAUUAUAAAGAUACAAUCUGUCUUUUAUUACUUGUAUGUGUUGUGUUGAAGCGUGUUAUAAAUAAAAGAA